AUGGGUUUAAGCCUUCUUUCUGUAAGAACAGCCCAAACUUACAGAGUACAUGCCAUGCCAUAUGAACUUUAUUAUAAAAUAAUGGCAGGCUCUUUUCCCGUGAACGUGGCGCAAGAAGUCUCUCACAACACCAUGUACCCAGGCGACGCAGGAAGUCCUGCACCAGAACCAGCGCAAGGGCUGCAAGUUCCUGGAGGUGUUGGAGUUACCAAUCAGCCUGAAGAACUGCAACCCCCAGAAGACAAGCGCUUCUCGGGCACCAACAGGCUUAAGUCCACUCCCCACCCCAAGUUCUCCACGUGUGUCCUGGGGGACCUGCAGAACUGUAACAAGGCCAAGGCUAUGGGUAUCUCCUACAUAGAUAUUGAGGCACUGAAAAAAUUCAACAAGAAUAAGAAACUGGUCAAGAAGCUGGCCAAGAAGUAUCAUGCAAUUUUGGCCUCAGAGUCUCUGAUUAAGCAGAUUUCAUGAAUCCUCAGCCCAGACCUAAAUAAGGCAGGAAAGUUCCCUUCCCUGCUCACACACAACGAAAAUAUGGUGGCCAAAGUGGAUGAGGUGAAGUCCACAAUCAAGUUCCAAAUGAAAAAGGUGUUAUGUCUGGCUGUGGCUGUCCGUCACGUGAAGAUGACAGACGGUGAGCUUGUGUAUAACAUUCACCUGUCUGUCAACUUCUUGGUGCCAUUGCUUAAGAAAAACUGGCUGAAUAUCUGGGCUUUAAAUGUCAAGAGCACCAUGGGUGAGUCCCAGCACCUAUACUAA